AACAACUUGUAGCAGCUAUAUAUUUCCCCUUGGUCCCAAGCCUGAUACUUUAGCCAUCAUAACUCACUAACAGGGAGAAGUAGCUAGUAGCAAUGUGCCUUGAUUGAUUAGAUAAAGAUUUCUAGUAGGCAGCAAAAGACCAAAUCUCAGUUGUUUGCUUCUUGCCAUCACUGGUCCAGGUCUUCAGUUUCCGAAUCUCUUUCCCUUCCCCUGUGGUCUAUUGUCGCUAUGUGACUUGCGCUUAAUCCAAUAUUUUGCCUUUUUUCUAUAUCAAAAAACCUUUACAGUUAGCAGGGAU
rnacentral:lncRNA from 1 species